AUUUAGUGUUCUAAUGGUUCUCCCUACAUAUGUGAGUUUACAUGGGCACGUAAUUUUAUAUAUUACCCUUGUGGAGUGACAGGUGAUUAAUUGUUUAAUCUUAAAUCUCUUACUGUCAUCUCUAGGGUGGUUGAACUCCUUGAUUACUCUUUUUGAACUUUGUGUAUUUUUACAAGCUCCACAUGAGCCACACCCAUAGAAUCCAUUGGUCUCAUUAAAAAAGGAUGAUUUUACAGUAGUCUUCCUUGAUGGUAAAUGAUUAUGUACUAGACUACUGCUUAAAUUGUUAACACCUCUAUAGGUAAUCAUAGGUCUAUCUGGCAACAAAGAGUGGAGGGCAGGAUCAUUCUUAAGUAUUGGCCAAUAUUUAUUAAUUAUUUUCCUGAGUUGUUUAUUAUUACAAUUAAAAUCACAAAUAAAAUUCAAAUUUUGGUGUUGUGUAUCAAUUUUUUUUUAUCCUUGUAUGUAAGUAAAUCGUUUCUAUUUUUCAUUUCUACCUCCUCAUAAGCUUUUACUAGGUGUUGUUCAUUAUACCCCUUCUCUUUAAAAUCUUCAAGUAUUUUAAUGGAUUGUUCCUGAAAUUUGGUAUUAUCCGUACAAUUACGCUUAAUUCUUAAUAGUUGUGCUUUGGGAGCGUUCAACAGCCAUGGAGAGAAAUGGCAACUUUUCUCUCCUGUGUAGCUGUUGACGUCAACCUUUUUAAAAAAAGUACAAGAUUUCAACAUAUCGUCCUCCACAUAUAUGUUAAGGUCCAGAAAUUCGACCGAAGUUUUGCUAUAAUGACUGGUAAGUGUAAUACCACGAUCAUUAGUGUUUAAAUGGGUUAGAAAGGAGUUGAGGGAUAUCUCGUCGCCCUUCCAAAUAAAAAAUAUAUCAUCUAUGUAACGACGAUAGGUAACGAGAUUUGCAUCCCAUCUAUGAUUAUCAUAGAUGAACUCCUGUUCCCAGUGUGACAUGAAUAGGUUUGCAUAGCUGGGAGCAAAUCUCGUACCCAUCGCCGUUCCACAUGUUUGCAAAUAAAAUUGGUCACCAAACCAAAAAUAGUUGUUCAUUAGGAUCCACUCGAUCCCUUCAACAAU